rnacentral:rRNA from 1 species
GACAGAGGGGGCAAGCGUUGCUCGGAAUUACUGGGCGUAAAGGGCGCGUAGGCGGGAUGGCAAGUCGGUCGUGAAAUCCUUCGGCUCAACCGGAAGAACGUCGAUCGAUACUGCUGUUCUUGAGGGUUGCAGAGGAGACUGGAAUUCCCGGUGUAGCGGUGAAAUGUGUAGAGAUCGGGAGGAACACCGGUGGCGAAGGCGGCUCUCUGGGACGGUACUGGACGCUGAGACGCGAAAGCGUGGGGAGCGAACAGG